UUCCGGUUGAUCCUGCCGGACCUGACUGCUAUCGGAUUGAUACUAAGCCAUGUGAGUCAUUGUAGCAAUACAAGGCACACGGCUCAGUAACACGUAGCCAAUCUAACCUAUGGACGGGGAUAACCUCGGGAAACUGAGGAUAAACCCCGAUAGAUCAUUAUGCCUGGAACGGUUUAUGGUCCAAAUGAUUCGUCGCCAUAGGAUGAGACUGCGGCCUAUCAGCUUGUUGGUGAGGUAAUGGCCCACCAAGGCUAUUACAGGUACGGGCUCUGAGAGGAGAAGCCCGGAGAUGGGUACUGAGACACGGACCCAGGCCCUAUGGGGCGCAGCAGGCGAGAAACCUAUGCAAUGUGCGCAAGCACGACAAGGUUAAUCCGAGUGAUUCCUGCUAAAGGAAUCUUUUGUUAGUCUUAAAAUCACUAUUGAAUAAGGGGUGGGCAAGUUCUGGUGUCAGCCGCCGCGGUAAAACCAGCACCUCAAGUGGUCAGGAGGAUUAUUGGGCCUAAAGCAUCCGUGGCCUGCUCUAUAAGUUUCCGGUUAAAUCCAUUUGCUCAACAAAUGGGCUGCCGAAAAUACUGUAGAACUAGGGAGUGGGAGAGGUAGACGGUACUCGGUAGGAAGGGGUAAAAUCCUUUGAUCUAUUGAUGACCACCUGUGGCGAAGGCGGUCUACCAGAACACGUUCGACGGUGAGGGAUGAAAGCUGGGGGGGCAAACCGGAUUAGAUACCCGGGUAGUCCCAGCUGUAAACGAUGCAGACUCGGUGAUGCGCUGGCUUGUGGCCAGUGCAGUGCCGCAGGAAGCCGUUAAGUUUGCCGCCUGGGAAGUACGUACGCAAGUAUGAAACUUAAUAGGAAUU
rnacentral:rRNA from 1 species